GUGGCUCAGUGGUAGAGUGCUUGCCUUGCAUGUAUGACGCCUGGGGUUCAAUUCCUCAGCAACACA
rfam:Dipodomys ordii contig_64214, whole genome shotgun sequence.